AUACGGAGGGUGCAAGCGUUGCUCGGAAUUACUGGGCGUAAAGCGUACGCAGGCGGCCUGUUAAGUCGGGUGUGAAAGCCCGGGGCUCAACCCCGGAACUGCAUUCGAAACUGGCAGGCUCGAAUACGGGAGAGGGAAGCGGAAUUCCUGGUGUAGAGGUGAAAUUCGUAGAUAUCAGGAGGAACACCAGUGGCGAAAGCGGCUUCCUGGCCCGAUAUUGACGCUCAUGUACGAAAGCGUGGGGAGCAAACAGGAUUAGAAACCCCAGUAGUCC
rnacentral:rRNA from 1 species